rnacentral:rRNA from 1 species
GACGAACGCUGGCGGCGUGCUUAACACAUGCAAGUCGAACGGGUCUGCCCUGUUUUUUGCGGGGUGGGUCAGUGGCGAACGGGUGAGUAACACGUGAGUAACCUGCCCCUCACUUCUGGAUAACCGCUUGAAAGGGUGGCUAAUACGGGGUGUUCUGGCUGUGCCGCAUGGUGUGGCUGGGAAAGAUUCACUUUUGUGGUGUUUUGGUGGGGGAUGGGCUCGCGGCCUAUCAGCUUGUUGGUGGGGUGAUGGCCUGCCAAGGCUUUGACGGGUAGCCGGCAUGAGGGGGUGGGCGGUCACACUGGGACUGAGAUACGGCCCAGACUCCUGCGGGAGGCAGCAGUGGGGGGUAUUGCACAAUGGGCGGAAGCCUGAUGCAGCGACGUCGCGUGAGUGAUGGAGGCCUUCGGGUUGUGAACCUCUUUCGCCGGUGAAGAAGGUCCUGCUCUUUGUGGUGGGGUUGACGGUAGCCGGGUUAUGAAGCGCCGGCUAACUACGUG